CAUUAAGAAGCUAUGAAUCAGCGUUAGCCUUUUAAGCUAAAGAAAGAGGGGACUAACCUCCUUAAUGG
rnacentral:tRNA from 1 species